rnacentral:rRNA from 1 species
UGGGGAAUAUUGCACAAUGGGGGAAACCCUGAUGCAGCAACGCCGCGUGAGUGAUGACGGCCUUCGGGUUGUAAAGCUCUGUCUUUAGGGACGAUAAUGACGGUACCUGAGGAGGAAGCCACGGCUAACUACGUGCCAGCAGCCGCGGUAAUACGUAGGUGGCGAGCGUUGUCCGGAUUUACUGGGCGUAAAGGGAGCGUAGGCGGACUUUUAAGUGAGAUGUGAAAUACCCGGGCUCAAAUUGGGUGCUGCAUUUCAAACUGGAAGUCUAGAGUGCAGGAGAGGAGAAUGGAAUUCCUAGUGUAGCGGUGAAAUGCGUAGAGAUUAGGAAGAGCACCAGUGGCGAAGGCGAUUCUCUGGACUGUAGCUGGCGCUGAGGCUCGAAAGCGUGGGGAGCAAACA